rnacentral:misc_RNA from 1 species
GUACCCUCAAGCUCUGCUUGGUGUUGGGUGUUUGUCGUGUCCUCUGGGGCGCGACUCGCCUUAAAUGUAUUGGCAGCCGGCAUAUUGGCCUAGGAGCGCAGCACAUUUUGCGAUCGUAGUCUGUAUAUCAGCGUCCAUGAAGCCUCAAUCAUCAC